CCAAUUUUCAUCUCUUCUUGGAUAUUCGGGGUGCCACGUAUCAGUUACAAGUACACUCAUCGCUUGAUGUACUCGGUUUUAAUCGUGGCAAUUUUUGCGGCAACUUUCAUCGUGUCGUUAGACGUUCGAUGGAACGCCGCCAUGUCCUACAAUCAUACGUACGCCACGUUCUACGGCGUUUCACAAAUCGUCACAUUCGUGGGCGGUAUUGGUACGAUCAUAUUUUGGGUUGCCAGUGGCGCAAAAGCUUUGGAUGAUUCGAUCGUGGAGCUGGGAACGGUGGAUGUCGAAUUGAGGGAUAUCGGCAUCGAAGUCAAACACCGAGACGUAUAUCGCAGGCAGAUCAGAUUGCUCGGUUCGUUCUCAACGAUAUGGCUGGUCAUCAUCGGUCUGCACGAAUACAUAUUUACUGCUAUCGGGAUCAACGAUAAAAGCUUGAUAUUAAAAACUUGUUGCCUUUCGUACAGCUCCCACGUUCCUCACUUAAUCACAUUAUUCAGUGAACUGGUAUUCUCCACAAUAAUGUUUACCUUCUAUGAAAGAUUCCAAUUGAUCAAUCGUGCUUUGACCGAAAUCGCGAAAGACCGGGAGCAAUCAAACGAUGGAAUAAUUGCUGUUCCCAGUAUUCAACCUCUGAGAAAUCGACGUGAUCUUUCGUUCAGCAAUAAGGUGAAUCGGAAUUUGCAGGAAUCGUUAGAGAGAAUCGAUCGGCUUUACAAGGUUCAUCGGCAGCUUUACCUAAUAACGGAAAAGCUCAGUGUGAAUUUUUCAUGGCAGCUCUACUUUACGGUUUCGACAACCUUUUGCCUCCUCGUUUACAGACUCCUCGCAUUGUACACACUGGUUUUCGUCCCGUUAUCGGUGCUCGGAAGUAGGAUCGGUCUAUCGCUCCUCUGGGUCUUCUAUCUCAUGCUCAAAUUCUGGGUGAUCACGUUGAGCUGCUGCAACACCAUCACCGAGGUGAUUCGAAGUCCAACGUUUGACGCGUUGUUUGGUGUUUUACAACGAGAGUAAAAUUGAAAACAAAAAAAUUGAUCACGUUCCAGGCAAAUACAUUGGGAAUCAUUCUCUACAGAAUUACGAUCGAUACUGCACAGAUACUCGGCCCACCUCCUUCAGAACGAGCUUCGUAUCACGGUUGGUGGUUUCUUCACGAUUGACAAAUCUCUGGUCGGAACGCUCUUCUCCUGCGUGACAACCUACAUGAUAUUCGCCGUCAACGUCUGGAAGGACACAGAAGCUAAUUCCGCUGAAUCGACGACCGUCUCAUCUUGACGGAGGAGUUUAAAUCGUUCCUUGAACGCGACAUUCACCUUGCUAUUUCGAUUGCGGUAAAUUUCGAUCCCGAGUUGCAGCGGGUAUGUGCAGUUCUUAGAGUGCAUAUGACAGUGUUAAGUCCUCGCUACAUCCCACGGAAUGUAAAGAUCUCCGGGUUGGUCAGAGCGCGUUGUAUUUGAGCGCUUCGAAUUUACAAGCAUACGGCUUGUCUUUUCGCAACAAUAAUGACUUCGCGGUGUGUUCGGCACUCGAUCAGCUCGAUUCGCAGGACCCGAAGGACCGCGUGGUCGCCUGGCUCUUUGGUAGAUACCUAAUCAAAGUCCUGUGUAGGAGAGCCCGCAUAAUCGCUCUCUGACACGAUGACACAUAUAAACCCAACUCCUCCUCCAGUCUUGGCGUUGGCUCCAGCCGAGGCUGGCGCCUCGGAUAACGGGGCUCGUUUAUUAAUCGUCUCCGGAUUAUUUACUCGGACAAAGAGCCCCGGAAUUUCUGACACGGGAUGCCGUGCCUGCCCGCUCAUAUUCUCGCAACGUAUAGUUGGAUUUUAUUCCUACGAGUGCCGCUGAAACCUUCCGUCACAUGCUCAUUAAUGCUCAGGAAUUCAGAGUCUCGAUCGAAGAAUUUCACGGAGGAUGGAGGGGAGAUAAUUGAUUGCUUCAUCAACGGCCGAACCAAGGAAUAUUGGAACGUCAACGAAUCUGCUACAAUUACGGGAUGAGAAUCGAUGUUGUACCGAUUAUUCCACCCUGCAUGUCCCGUGUGUAUGUAUGCUCGUAUUAUACAGCGUACCUUGUAAUCGCAUAGCAAUUACAGUGCGACGUUCUAUAUCUCUGCACUUACAAUUAGAUGCGGGCGAAUAAUUGAUAUGCACGUGUAUAUACCUGUGUAAUUGACUGCCUCGCAAGUGGAUGUAUAAAUAACCACCAAGCUCCUUUGUCAGCUCUCUUCAUUUGUACCUG